GACGAACGCUGGCGGCGUGCUUAACACAUGCAAGUCGAGCGGUAAGGCCCUUUCGGGGGUACACGAGCGGCGAACGGGUGAGUAACACGUGGGUGGCCUGCCCUCAGCUCUGGGAUAAGCCUGGGAAACUGGGUCUAAUACUGGAUAUGACUCCACGGUGCAUGUCGUGGGGUGGAAAGCCUUGUGCGGCUGAGGAUGGGCCCGCGGCCUAUCAGCUUGUUGGUGGGGUGAGGCCUACCAAGGCGACGACGGGUAGCCGGCCUGAGAGGGCGACCGGCCACACUGGGACUGAGACACGGCCCAGACUCCUACGGGAGGCAGCAGUGGGGAAUCUUGCGCAAUGGGCGAAAGCCUGACGCAGCGACGCCGCGUGAGGGAUGACGGCCUCGGUGUAAC
rnacentral:rRNA from 1 species